AUUAAAGGAUGCUCUUUAUUGCUUUGAAUGAUAGUGAGAGAGAGAGAGAUGAGCUGAAGGAUUUGCACUUUCCAUCAAUAAACAUGGCUCUGAUAUGUUUAGUUUUGUCUCUUCUUUUUCUUCCUCCUCCAAAUCAUCCUAUCAACCUGAAAACUAACCAGAAAAUUCAGGACUGUACUCUGCUCUAUGUACAUUGUAGGCCUCUGUUCAAACCCACCCAUAAUGGCACUCCCAGAUGAAGUUUUUUCGCUUCCCGACGACGACAUAAUCAUAAUCGAACACAAACCAUCAUUGUGUCGGUCUCUUCCAAUAAUUUUCUCUUCGAAAGGGGUGAAUCUCGAGAGCAAGAGAGAGAAACAUGAAAACUUUUUUAACCCGAGAAUCCAAUUAUCCCAAAUGAUGCUCCCUUCCCUAAUCCCAUACCUCUUUAAAUUCUGACCACAAAAGGAAUAUAUUCUUAUAAGCCAAGAAAAAGAAUGCCACAAGGAAGAUGAUUCAAAACCAUGGUGAUGAUUUUUCUUUCUUUUCUUUUUUUUGGUGUUUAGUGAUCAUAUGAUAAAAGUUAUCCACUUUCAAUAUUUACCAGAGGCAAUUUUAGAAAUAAUAAUGAGUUGGUAACAUGUGGAUGGGAAAGAAGAUGAUGAUUAUUAAUUUAUCAUUACAAUUUUUGUUGAGUGAUCAAUUUAUAAUGAUGGAAUGGAUGCAGCCUGCAGCAGGGGAAGAAGAAGAAGGAGCCAACAGGUGCAAUUUGUGGGCCUCAUUUUGAAGGGUCACUGUCUUUCUAGGGUGUCCCUCUCACUGUGAUCUAAAGAACCAUUUAUGAACACACCCAAAAUAAAAAUUGUGGUCACCCCCUUUUGCUUUUCUUGGUAAUGGCAAUGCCUAUUGCCAAUGCAUGCCCUUGGGACUACACAAUGUGAGUUUUGGUGAAAGGGUAUCUUUCUUUUUGGUAACGUUUUCGCUUUCUUUGUUUGAGGUCUCGAGGAACAUGUGUAUUUGAUAUCAGUUACUGUCUUUUAUUUGUGGAAACAGCGUUCGUAAUGUUGUAUAGAUUUUCUUUUUAA